GACGAACGUUGGCGGCGUGCUUAACACAUGCAAGUCGAACGGUAAGGCCCUUCGGGGUACACGAGUGGCGAACGGGUGAGUAACACGUGGGUGAUCUGCCCUGCACUUCGGGAUAAGCCUGGGAAACUGGGUCUAAUACCGGCUAGGACCACUGGCUGCAGGGGUGGUGGUGGAAAGCUUUUGCGGUGUGGGAUGGGCCCGCGGCCUAUCAGAUUGUUGGUGGGGUGAUGGCCUACCAAGGCGACGACGGGUAGCCGGCCUGAGAGGGUGACCGGCCACACUGGGACUGAGAUACGGCCCAGACUCCUACGGGAGGCAGCAGUGGGGAAUAUUGCACAAUGGGCGCAAGCCUGAUGCAGCGACGCCGCGUGAGGGAUGACGGCCUUCGGGUUGUAAACCUCUUUCAGCACCGACGAAGCGCAAGUGACGGUAGGUGCAGAAGAAGGACCGGCCAACUACGUGCCAGCAGCCGCAGUAA
rnacentral:rRNA from 1 species